UGCCAGCAGCCGCGGUAAUACGGGGGGUGCAAGCGUUACUCGGAAUCACUGGGCGUAAAGGGAGCGCAGGCGGGUUAAUAAGUAUCUUGUGAAAGCCUAUGGCUUAACCAUAGAACGGCAAGAUAAACUGUUAACCUAGAGUUCAGAAGAGGUAAGUGGAAUAGGUGGUGUAGGGGUAAAAUCCGUAGAGAUCACCUGGAAUGCCAACGGCGAAAGCAACUUACUGGGAUGAUACUGACGCUGAGGCCCGAAAGCGUGGGGAGCAAACAGGAUUAGAUA
rnacentral:rRNA from 1 species